UGGUAGUCCACGCCGUAAACGUUGGGCGCUAGAUGUGGGGACCUUUCCACGGUUUCCGUGUCGUAGCUAACGCAUUAAGCGCCCCGCCUGGGGAGUACGGCCGCAAGGCUAAAACUCAAAGGAAUUGACGGGGGCCCGCACAAGCGGCGGAGCAUGCGGAUUAAUUCGAUGCAACGCGAAGAACCUUACCAAGGCUUGACAUAACCGAGAACGCCGCAGAAAUGUGGAACUCUUUGGACACUCGGUUACAGGUGGUGCAUGGUUGUCGUCAGCUCGUGUCGUGAGAUGUUGGGUUAAGUCCCGCAACGAGCGCAACCCUCGUCGUAUGUUGCCAGCACGUAAUGGUGGGAACUCAUAUGAGACUGCCGGGGUCAACUCGGAGGAAGGUGGGGAUGACGUCAAAUCAUCAUGCCCCUUAUGUCUUGGGCUUCACGCAUGCUACAAUGGCCGGUACAAAGGGCUGCGAUGUCGUAAGGCGGAGCGAAUCCCAAAAAGCCGGUCUCAGUUCGGAUUGAGGUCUGCAACUCGACCUCAUGAAGUCGGAGUCGCUAGUAAUCGCAGAUCAGCAACGCUGCGGUGAAUACGUUCCCGGGCCUUGUACACACCGCCCGUCAAGUCAUGAAAGUCGGUAACACCCGAAGCCGGUGGCCUAACCCUUGUGGAGGGAGCCUCGAAGUG
rnacentral:rRNA from 1 species